GAUGAAGAACGCAGCGAAAUGCGAUACGUAGUGUGAAUUGCAGAAUUCAGUGAAUCAUCGAAUCUUUGAACGCACAUUGCACCUCUCGGUAUUCCGGGAGGUAUGCCUGUUCGAGCGUCAUUUGUACCCUCAAGCUCUGCUUGGUGUUGGGUGUUUGUUCCGCCUCUGUGUGUGAACUCGCCUCAAAACAAUUGGCAGCCGGCGUACUUGUUUCGGAGCGCAGCACAUUUUGCGAUCCAGAUCAACGUACAGCGGCAUCCAAGAAGCCUUAUUUAACGCUCUUGACCUCGGAUCAGGUAGGGAUACCCGCUGAACUUAAGCAUAUCAAUAGCGGAGG
rnacentral:misc_RNA from 1 species